UGCCGGGUCUCGGACGGUGAGUCCGUCUCGUAAAGUUGUCGAGGAAUCCAGCUGCCUUGUUGGAGAAGCUCCAGCAAUGAAGAGAGCCUAUAUUGAUGGGCUUUGAUCAACAGUUCCAGCUGAGCCUGGGCUUUAGCUAUGCAUAAAAACCCAGACAGAAGGUUUCCAGAAUUUUGGCAAGGCUGUUCCUAUCAAUAAUGGCCCUUUGGCCUGUCUUAAGAAUUGGUUCUACCACAAAGGUUCUACUUAAUGUGAAAAGAGCAAAAGCAUUGUGUCAUCA